UACGAAGGAUGCAAGCGUUAUCCGGAUUUAUUGGGUUUAAAGGGUGCGUAGGCGGACUUAUAAGUCAGUGGUGAAAUCUCGAUGCUUAACAUCGAACGUGCCAUUGAUACCUGUAGGUCUUGAGUACAGAUGCCGUUGGCGGAAUGUGUCAUGUAGCGGUGAAAUGCAUAGAUAUGACACAGAACACCGAUUGCGAAGGCAGCUGACGAAACUGUAACU
rnacentral:rRNA from 1 species